CUGAAAUAUUCCAUCACAUAAAACAGGGAAGACACAAGAUAAUCAAUACUUUCCACACUACUUGGAGAAAAGGAUCAGAUGGAUCAGGAAAAAAAUAUUAAUCAGUGACUCACUAACAUAAAGCUGAUAAGUGAAAAUAAAACAUAUCCCAGUGUUAUAUUAGCUGCAGGUGAAGGUCAGCUUGUAGAUGGCAAAACACAUGUAAAGAAGGAAAUGGGAGUGCGAGUCCCCAUAAAGCACCAUCCUUCUGUCAAUAGAACAAUAAUCAUUUAAUGAAAACCAGGAGGAUGAUCUGAUGCAAACUGCCCAAUCAUUACCAUCUCUAAUCCCAGUGCAUAGUGAACUAGAUGGAGCAUUGCUCAGAUACAAUUUUGUUAUAUUCUUCAGAAGGUAGAAUGUAC
rnacentral:misc_RNA from 1 species